rnacentral:rRNA from 1 species
GAUGAACGCUGGCGGCGUGCCUAAUACAUGCAAGUCGAGCGAACAGACGAGGAGCUUGCUCCUCUGACGUUAGCGGCGGACGGGUGAGUAACACGUGGAUAACCUACCUAUAAGACUGGGAUAACUUCGGGAAACCGGAGCUAAUACCGGAUAAUAUAUUGAACCGCAUGGUUCAAUAGUGAAAGACGGUUUUGCUGUCACUUAUAGAUGGAUCCGCGCCGCAUUAGCUAGUUGGUAAGGUAACGGCUUACCAAGGCAACGAUGCGUAGCCGACCUGAGAGGGGGAUCGGCCACACUGGAACUGAGACACGGUCCAGACUCCUACGGGAGGCAGCAGGAGGGAAUCUUCCGCAAUGGGCGAAAGCCUGACGGAGCAACGCCGCGUGAGUGAUGAAGGUCUUCGGAUCGUAAAACUCUGUUAUUAGGGAAGAACAAAUGUGUAAGUAACUAUGCACGUCUGGACGGUACCUAAUCAGAAAGCCACGGCUAACUACGG